GUGGUGUGACUGCGUACCUUUUGUAUAAUGGGUCAGCGACUUAUAUUCUGUAGCAAGGUUAACCGUAUAGGGGAGCCGAAGGGAAACCGAGUCUUAACUGGGCGUUAAGUUGCAGGGUAUAGACCCGAAACCCGGUGAUCUAGCCAUGGGCAGGUUGAAGGUUGGGUAACACUAACUGGAGGACCGAACCGACUAAUGUUGAAAAAUUAGCGGAUGACUUGUGGCUGGGGGUGAAAGGCCAAUCAAACCGGGAGAUAGCUGGUUCUCCCCGAAAGCUAUUUAGGUAGCGCCUCGUGAACUCAUCUUCGGGGGUAGAGCACUGUUUCGGCUAGGGGGCCAUCCCGGCUUACCAACCCGAUGCAAACUACGAAUACCGAAGAAUGUUAUCACGGGAGACACACGGCGGGUGCUAACGUCCGUCGUGAAGAGGGAAACAACCCAGACCGCCAGCUAAGGUCCCAAAGUCAUGGUUAAGUGGGAAACGAUGUGGGAAGGCACAGACAGCCAGGAUGUUGGCUUAGAAGCAGCCAUCAUUUAAAGAAAGCGUAAUAGCUCACUGGUCGAGUCGGCCUGCGCGGAAGAUGUAACGGGGCUAAACCAUGCACCGAAGCUGCGGCAGCGACGCUUAUGCGUUGUUGGGUAGGGGAGCGUUCUGUAAGCCGUUGAAGGUGUGCUGUGAGGCAUGCUGGAGGUAUCAGAAGUGCGAAUGCUGACAUAAGUAACGAUAAAGCGGGUGAAAAGCCCGCUCGCCGGAAGACCAAGGGUUCCUGUCCAACGUUAAUCGGGGCAGGGUGAGUCGACCCCUAAGGCGAGGCCGAAAGGCGUAGUCGAUGGGAAACAGGUUAAUAUUCCUGUACUUGGUGUUACUGCGAAGGGGGGACGGAGAAGGCUAUGUUAGCCGGGCGACGGUUGUCCCGGUUUAAGCAUGUAGGCGGAGGUUCCAGGUAAAUCCGGUACCUUAUUAACGCUGAGGUGUGAUGACGAGGCACUACGGUGCUGAAGUAACAAAUGCCCUGCUUCCAGGAAAAGCCUCUAAGCAUCAGGUAACACGAAAUCGUACCCCAAACCGACACAGGUGGUCAGGUAGAGAAUACCAAGGCGCUUGAGAGAACUCGGGUGAAGGAACUAGGCAAAAUGGUGCCGUAACUUCGGGAGAAGGCACGCUGAUAUGUAGGUGAAGCCCCUGCGGGUGGAGCUGAAAUCAGUCGAAGAUACCAGCUGGCUGCAACUGUUUAUUAAAAACACAGCACUGUGCAAACACGAAAGUGGACGUAUACGGUGUGACGCCUGCCCGGUGCCGGAAGGUUAAUUGAUGGGGUUAGCGGUAACGCGAAGCUCUUGAUCGAAGCCCCGGUAAACGGCGGCCGUAACUAUAACGGUCCUAAGGUAGCGAAAUUCCUUGUCGGGUAAGUUCCGACCUGCACGAAUGGCGUAAUGAUGGCCAGGCUGUCUCCACCCGAGACUCAGUGAAAUUGAACUCGCUGUGAAGAUGCAGUGUACCCGCGGCAAGACGGAAAGACCCCGUGAACCUUUACUAUAGCUUGACACUGAACACUGGUCCUUGAUGUGUAGGAUAGGUGGGAGGCUUUGAAGCGUGGACGCCAGUCUGCGUGGAGCCGACCUUGAAAUACCACCCUUUAAUGGCUGGUGUUCUAACGUAGACCCGUAAUCCGGGUUGCGGACAGUGUCUGGUGGGUAGUUUGACUGGGGCGGUCUCCUCCCAAAGAGUAACGGAGGAGCACGAAGGUUAGCUAAUCCUGGUCGGACAUCAGGAGGUUAGUGCAAUGGCAUAAGCUAGCUUGACUGCGAGAGUGACGGCUCGAGCAGGUGCGAAAGCAGGUCAUAGUGAUCCGGUGGUUCUGAAUGGAAGGGCCAUCGCUCAACGGAUAAAAGGUACUCCGGGGAUAACAGGCUGAUACCGCCCAAGAGUUCAUAUCGACGGCGGUGUUUGGCACCUCGAUGUCGGCUCAUCACAUCCUGGGGCUGAAGUAGGUCCCAAGGGUAUGGCUGUUCGCCAUUUAAAGUGGUACGCGAGCUGGGUUUAGAACGUCGUGAGACAGUUCGGUCCCUAUCUGCCGUGGGCGCUGGAGAAUUGAGGGGGGCUGCUCCUAGUACGAGAGGACCGGAGUGGACGCAUCACUGGUGUUCGGGUUGUCAUGCCAAUGGCACUGCCCGGUAGCUAAAUGCGGAAAAGAUAAGUGCUGAAAGCAUCUAAGCACGAAACUUGCCCCGAGAUGAGUUCUCCCUGACCCUUUAAGGGUCCUGAAGGAACGUUGAAGACUACGACGUUGAUAGGUCGGGUGUGUAAGCGCAGCGAUGCGUUGAGCUAACCGAUACUAAUGAACCGUGAGGCUUAACCUUACAACGCCGAAGCUGUU
rnacentral:rRNA from 1 species